rnacentral:tRNA from 1 species
GGGGAUAUGGCGAAAUCGGUAGACGCUACGGACUUAAUUGGAUUGAGCCUAAAAUCCGUCGAUUUAAAAAAUCAUGAGGGUUCAAGUCCCUCUAUCCCCA